GAUGAACGCUGGCGGCGUGCUUAACACAUGCAAGUCGAACGAUGAAGCCCAGCUUGCUGGGUGGAUUAGUGGCGAACGGGUGAGUAACACGUGAGUAACCUGCCCUUAACUCUGGGAUGAGCCUGGGAAACUGGGUCUAAUACCGGAUAGGAGCGUCCACCGCAUGGUGGGUGUUGGAAAGAUUUAUCGGUUUUGGAUGGACUCGCGGCCUAUCAGCUUGUUGGUGAGGUAAUGGCUCACCAAGGCGACGACGGGUAGCCGGCCUGAGAGGGUGACCGGCCACACUGGGACUGAGACACGGCCCAGACUCCUACGGGAGGCAGCAGUGGGGAAUAUUGCACAAUGGGCGCAAGCCUGAUGCAGCGACGCCGCGUGA
rnacentral:rRNA from 1 species